rnacentral:lncRNA from 1 species
GCCACCGCUCUGCCUGCUCCAGUAUCAGAUAUUUCCCCCGAGAAACAUCCGACUCUUACUAACAUGGGCAAGGAAAGGACCAGCGUCAACAUGGCCGUCGUCGGCUACUACUAGACCUUCUAUCAGCAGAUGGACGGCUAGUACAACAUGGACAUGACCCGGCUUCUGUACACGGACACGCUCUGGACACGGACGAUACGAUGCUAGGCUCUCCCGGAUUAUUAUAACUCAACAUGAUUGGCUUUUUAUGAAAUAUAUCAAAAUUCUUCCGUUUAA